rnacentral:lncRNA from 1 species
AGCUCAUCGUCAUCGUCGUCGUCGCUGUCAGGAAGGAGCACCUCGGCUUUGUUGCCGCCGGCGAGAUGGGGGAUAGGCACCGCUCUCCCUCCCCUCUCAGGCUCUCACUUCUCGCACAAGCGCGACAUAGAUGGAGCCCGAGCUCAGAGAUGGAGCGGCGGCGGCGGAUGGGGACGGUGCCCGAGCGACGGAAGCGGCGGCGUCGGAUGGGGACGGAGCCGGAGCGGCAGUGACGGAUGGCGGCGGAUGUGGACGGAGCCCGAGAGCGGUGGCGGCGGCGGAUGGAUUGGGACGGAGCCCAAGCGGCGGCGGCGGAUGGCGGUGACGGAUGGGGAUGGAGCUCGAGUGGAGGCGGCAGAUGGGGGCGGAGCCCAUGCGGCGGUGGUGGAUGCCGGCAGCGGAUGGGGGAGGGAGGGCUCGGCAUGGCUCUUCACCGUCUCGGCCACAAGCCUCGUUCCGCCGCUGCCAUCCUCACGCUCCCGGAACUCAACCUUCACGCGUGCAGUGGCCGUGGCCACUAACCCGUGCGUUGCCUGGGUUGACGACUAG